rnacentral:tRNA from 1 species
UCCAGAUUGAUUAUCGUUUUUUUUAUUUCCCGGCUUAUUAGUAUUAGAUAUAAAUAUACCUAUCGAAUCUUAG